GACGAACGCUGGCGGCGUGCUUAACACAUGCAAGUCGAACGAGUGGCGGACGGGUGAGUAAUGUCUGGGAAACUGCCUGGUGGAGGGGGAUAACUACUGGAAACGGUAGCUAAUACCGCAUACCAUCAGAUGUGCCCAGAUGGGAUUAGCUUGUUGGUGGGGUAACGGCUCACCAAGGCGACGAUCCCUAGCUGGUCUGAGAGGAUGACCAGCCACACUGGGACUGAGACACGGUCCAGACUCCUACGGGAGGCAGCAGUGGGGAAUAUUGCACAAUGGGCGCAAGCCUGAUGCAGCCACGCCGCGUGUAUGAAGAAGGCCUUCGGGUUGUAAAGUACUUUCAGUGGGGAGGCGUUACCUGCAGAAGAAGCACCGGCUAACUCCGUGCCAGCAGCCGCGGUAAUUC
rnacentral:rRNA from 1 species